GCCCCAGUGGCGCAAGGGAAGCGCAGGCGAUUUGUAAUCGCCAGGUUAUCGGUUCAAGUCCGGUCUGGGGCU
rnacentral:tRNA from 1 species